rnacentral:rRNA from 1 species
UACGAAGGGGGCUAGCGUUGUUCGGAAUUACUGGGCGUAAAGCGCGCGCAGGCGGUUUCUCAAGUCAGUGGUGAAAGCCCGGAGCUCAACUCCGGAACUGCCAUUGAAACUGUGAAACUUGAGGACGAGAGAGGUGAGUGGAAUUCCCAGUGUAGAGGUGAAAUUCGUAGAGAUCGGGAGGAACACCCGUGGCGAAGGCGGCCAUCUGGACCAGCACUGACGCUGAGGCACGAAAGCGUGGGGAGCAAACAGG